GACGAACGCUGGCGGCGUGCUUAACACAUGCAAGUCGAACGGAAAGGCCCUGCUUUUGUGGGGUGCUCGAGUGGCGAACGGGUGAGUAACACGUGAGUAACCUGCCCUUGACUUUGGGAUAACUUCAGGAAACUGGGGCUAAUACCGGAUAGGAGCUCCUGCUGCAUGGUGGGGGUUGGAAAGUUUCGGCGGUUGGGGAUCGACUCGCGGCUUAUCAGCUUGUUGGUGUGGUAGUGGCUUACCAAGGCUUUGACGGGUAGCCGGCCUGAGAGGGUGACCGGCCACAUUGGGACUGAGAUACGGCCCAGACGCCUACGGGAGGCAGCAGUGGGGAGUAUUGCACAAUGGGCGGAAGCCUGAUGCAGCAACGCCGCGUGCGGGAUGACGGCCUUCGGGUUGUAAACCGCUUUCGCCUGUGACGAAGCGUGAGUGACGGUAAUGGGUAAAGAAGCACCGGCUAACUACGUG
rnacentral:rRNA from 1 species